UUUAACCAAAAAAAAAAAGAAAAAAGAAGAAGAAAGAGGUUUUCCCAGCGAAAGCGAACCCAAGGAGAACCCGUCGGAGCGAGCCACCAUCGUGUCGGAGCACGGCGAGUACUCGCCGUUGUUGUCGCUCGCUGCGUCAACGGAGACCAGAAAGUUGGAGCAACGCGCUCUCAUGGGUGCUGCCGGAUCGAAGCUCGAGAAAGCUCUCGGAGACCAGUUCCCUGAAGGCGAGCGCUACUUCGGUCUCGAAAAUUUCAGCAACACUCGCCAUUGCAACAGCGUUUUGCAGAUCCAUGUGACUCAGAUGUGGAACAUAAAGUGAUUUUACUAAAGUUUAUAGAUUCCAUAACCUAAUCCCCCCCCCCCCCCCAACAGUGCAAAAUAAAAUGGUUGAGGCUUGAAUCUUGGAUUUUGAGAAUGGAUCGAAACAGGAUUCUUAUGCAGUUCUUUCACUUAGCACAAUAGAAUGAAGGGGAAUUCAUAUAAUUUCAAAUCAUGUUCUUAUUGAAGAGAAAGAACCAAAAAAAAAAACUGCUCUGAAUCUUGGCUCAGGUUGGGACUUUAGUUUGAUGUGAAUGUGCAUACUGUAAUAUUCAGAAUUUAUUCAAGACUUAAUGUAGGAAAUGCAUUUGGAGUUUGAUAUGGCUGUAUCUGCUUCACAAUCUGUACCAUUUAGUGCUAUCCUUAAUUUUUUUUUCCUCCUCUCUUGGCGUGGUGAGGGUGGAGAAGGAAAUGCAGUCUGCCAUCUUGUGGCUGUGAGAAACAUGACCCAUCCUCAUUGAUAGUGGGGUAUGAAGAUAUGAGACUAUACUAAUAGUUGUUUUGUGAAUUUGUGUACUAGAUGCAAGUUGGUGCUGGAUGCAUCUCACUUGCAGAGAUGGAUGCAUGUCUGGGGCAUUUGCCAACUGGAUAUAAGCCACGCCCUCUAAUGUUCAACUAAAGGAGAUUUUUGCUGGGUUUUUUCAGCUCACCUGAAGCAUAAUUUAAGAUUCUACCUGGCAUGAGAUGGUUAUCAAGGAUGAAGGUUACAAAAAGAUCCAAUCAAACUUUACACAAGAUCUAGUCAAGUUAGUGACACAAGGUCAGGUCAAGUCAAGUCAAAGUCAUCAUAAUUUCAUGUUCGAACGUCAUUAUCAAAUGUCCGCCUCCAUUUCCAGUGGGUAACUACUUACAGCAAAGAUUGUGGACAAAAAACAGAGUGCCCUUGAUGCUACUGCUAUUGAUCUAUCAUCUCUGCUCUGGCUUAUAAGACAGUUGGUGGCUAUUCAAGCCUCCUAAGUAAAUUUGUAAUUAUUUUUGGCUAAUCUGAAGUCCGUUUGGCUAUGCAUUUGAUCUGAGCUUGAUGUGGUUUUUCAUGUGAUUAGGUUUCAAUCAAAUGAGAAACCAGUUAGUAAGAUAUAAUGACUUAACUAUUUGCACAUUUAAUAAGUAGCACUGAUCAAUUUGUUUGUGGAUUAGUGAGCUCAAGAAAACCAGUUAGUGAGAUGUAAUGAAUUGUCUAACCAUGCAAAGUCUCUUCUAACAACUUGGUGCAGGGUUGCAUCUAAAGGAAAAAUCGAAAAUGGUUGCUCUUGAUGUUGUUAAUAAGGAAGCUAUUGAUCUGGCAUGUUCUUUUAAAAAUUAUACUCUGUUAUCAUCUUACAACAUGCCAACUUUAUCUUAAUGAAUGUUCCAAUUAAUGAAUAUUCUUUGUGAAAAUUCAUAGCUGCAAAUAUUAGAAUAAUUAAUGUUAUUAGCUUUCAUAGUUUACUUAUAAAAAAAGAAAAAAGAAAAAAGAAGCUUCAUAGUUAGAUGAUGGAGUUUAGUGGGCUCAAUUGAUACUUUAGUAGAAUAUAUUUUAUUCUGCCACAAACAACCAUUUUUUUUUAUCCUUUAUUUUGUGUGGAAUUACAAUCAAUUGGAAGAAAUUAGAUCUUUCAUGUUUAAUUCAAGCAGGUAUGAAUACUUUGAUUUGCCUAGAAUCAAGAAGCAUGAAAUGGAUGGAAAUGCAAAGAAAUUUUCAUUACUUUAUCUUAUUUGAUUGGUGCUAAAUUAGAAUUUGCUUUAUGUUGGAAAUCUAAUCCCUAAAGAAGUUUUUGAGUAUCUUAAUUGUUCAAGAAUGGAUUUGACCUUUGAUCAAUUGAUUUG